UUUCCGUAGGUGAACCUGCGGAAGGAUCAUUAGUGAAUUUUAGGGUGCUCUCUCGCUUUGUUCUUUUAACUAGACGAGCGUAGAGGGGCCUGACCUCCACUUUCUACCCUGUGCACUAGUGGCUUUGGAAAGGAGACUUUACAGUCUCUGGCCCUCUGCCGUCUUUACUAUUAAACACUAGUCAAAGAAUGUCAAAAAAUACAUAACAAAAAAAACUUUCAACAACGGAUCUCUUGGCUCUCGCAUCGAUGAAGAACGCAGC
rnacentral:misc_RNA from 1 species